rnacentral:rRNA from 1 species
UACGAAGGGGGCUAGCGUUGUUCGGAAUUACUGGGCGUAAAGCGUGCGCAGGCGGCUUCUCAAGUCAGGGGUGAAAGCCCAGAGCUCAACUCUGGAAUUGCCUUUGAGACUGAGUGGCUUGAGUACGAGAGAGGUGAGUGGAAUUCCCAGUGUAGAGGUGAAAUUCGUAGAUAUUGGGAAGAACACCGGUGGCGAAGGCGGCUCACUGGCUCGUAACUGACGCUCAUGCACGACAGCGUGGGGGUCAAACAGG